ACUUUAAGAGGGCAGGAAAAUAACUUUUGGGAACUGCUCAAAACUUCACCAAAUCAUUAAAAGGCACUCCUCCUAGGUGCAUGCUCAUUUAUUCAGCUCAGUUAGGAAAUGAAGUCCAAUCACCGAAAUCCAUUUCUCCGAUACAGCUGUGCUAAGAAUAAAGUGCAACCCUAAAGAACAGUAGUUUAGAAGGUGCUUUCUCCUGCCCAGGUUAUUGUUCCUCAGUCAGCUUUUGGAAUCCUCAUGAUGCUUCAAUGCGUUCCUUAUUUUCACAUGCCGUGUACAAGUGACCUGUCAAGAUGAAUUGAUCCCAGCAGGAACUACAUUCAUAAACCCUCUCUUCUUAUUGCCUGCCUGGGAUUGCAAAUAGCAGGGGUAUUUCAAACACCUGGCAAACUAACAUACAUGGCUGGUGGGCUGUGAUCGGCUUGUUGGGUCCCAGGUUGUGCAGUCAUGCUGUACUUUCUCCAACUCCUUCCUAGAUGUCUCGGGUUCUUCCCAUUUUAAAAGGUCUUUUAAAAAUCUUCCUCCUCAUUUGGAAGAU